rnacentral:miRNA from 1 species
AACUCAGGAGAGUGGUCGUAAC